rnacentral:rRNA from 1 species
UACGUAGGGGGCUAGCGUUGUCCGGAAUCAUUGGGCGUAAAGCGCGUGUAGGCGGCCCCGGUAAGUCCGCUGUGAAAGUCGGGGGGCUCAACCCUCGGAUGCCGGUGGAUACUGUCGGGCUUGAGGUACGGAAGAGGCGAGUGGAAUUCCUGGUGUAGCGGUGAAAUGCGCAGAUAUCAAGGAGGAACACCAAUGGCGAAGGCAGCUCGCUGGGACGGUACUGACGCUGGAGACGCGAACGUGGGA